rnacentral:rRNA from 1 species
GGCUCAGAACGAACGCUGGCGGCAGGCCUAACACAUGCAAGUCGAGCGCGCCCUUCGGGGUGAGCGGCGGACGGGUUAGUAACGCGUGGGAACGUACCCUUUGGUAGGGAAUAGCCACUGGAAACGGUGAGUAAUACCCUAUGAGCCCUUCGGGGGAAAGAUUUAUCGCCAAAGGAUCGGCCCGCGUUAGAUUAGGUAGUUGGUGGGGUAAUGGCCUACCGAGCCUACGAUCUAUAGCUGGUUUUAGAGGAUGAUCGGCAACACUGGGACUGAGACACGGCCCAGACUCCUACGGGAGGCAGCAGUGGGGAAUCUUGGACAAUGGGGGCAACCCUGAAUCCAGCCAUGCCGCGUGAGUGAAGAAGGCCUUAGGGUCGUAAAGCUCUUUCGCCUGUGAAGAUAAUGACGGUAGCAGGUAAAGAAACCCCGGCUAACUCCGUGCCAGCCGCCGC